UCCCCUCGCCGCGGCCUCAGGUCUCAGACCUGGUUUCCCCAACGUGCUGGGUGUAGAAUCAGCGAGGCCUGGGACUUCCUGCCCUGGGAGACUCGGGUGGGAAGGUGGCAUUCGUUACCAGAGGGAUGCAUCUGAGGAAGUGGGUCCCUCUCCAUUUGUGUUUCUGCUGAACCCCAAAGCUCUCCUUUGCCAGCUACUGGUAUGAGGCAUAAGUGAUGACCCCUCUUUCUUCACACCUGGCUCAGGCAGUCUCCUGGGAAAGAAGCAGCUGUGCGGAUGAGGCAGCUAGAGAACAAUCUCAUCUGUCAUGAGAUGCUGAUGGACCCAAAGACCAAGCGGCGUUGUUCCAGGAGAUACACGCUGCCCCAGUCAUGACUCCCUGCUCUUCCUUAUCACACCUACUCACUGUAUGGGACAUGCACCUUGUAGGAGUACCUGCUUCACCCCAGUGGGAAAAAAAAAAAAGCUUCAGGGAAUUAUGUCUGCCAGUCACCCAGAUCUGUCAAGGAGGAUGGAAGAGAUGUUAAAAGCUGCAGGAAAAAUAUUGCUGAGAACAAAAAGACAGAAAUUAAUGCUUACUAUGAGGAAAAGGCUACAGCAGAAGUUCAGUGAUCUUCUGUCUCGUGUGACCUACCGACCAAUUAAUUGGCGUGCGUGUGCCAGUCGAUACGCAUCACUCAGAGCCAGACCCAUCCUUGCCUCUCACCCCGUGAGGAGUUACAGGCUAUGGAAGGAAGCUGAGACACACGGAGUACCUUUUGUGCAUGGCACAUUCAGCUCUAGGAACCUGGGCACCUCAACUGAUACUAUUAUUCUCAGCAGGAACCUUCAGGGAGAUGAACAGCAUAUAUUUGGACAUUUGAGGUAACCAAAAUAUGAAUUAAUUGUGGUUGUGAAGUUUUUCAAGUUCUUCAUGUUUUUCAUGAACAUACAGAUUUGGUUGCUGACAGUGGCAUGAAGUUUCAUUUGAAUUGCUGAGGAUUGAAGAGUGUCUGACUUUGCAAGCCAGCUGAAUCUUGGUCCUGUUUGAAGUGGAUGGCUGGAUUCUUACAGGCUUCACUGGCACCAGGUUCCCAUCUGCCGGUUUUCUGGACCUGGCACAGCAAUUCUCACUUUACAUAAAAGACGAUAAACUCACUAAUAGGAAAACAGCAUAGAACUCUGAAUUCCAGUGGAACAAACUUUUCAAACCGGUACCCCUGUCUUUACAAGAGUUACCUGGAAAAACCUGAGGGUAACAUCAUCUGCUCUAGUAUUCCACAGACCUAUAUACGGUUUGACACAGAAGACUUGCACAGACAAAACUGCGUGUCCUUUUCAACAGUUAAAAUGGCACAGCUUUGCCUCUGGGUGAAAUUACACCAGCAAAUGGUGAAAUCAAAAAUUACCAUCAAUUCUCAAGCACUGAUGCUAAUGGCAUCUCUUGAUGGUUCAUGAGGACUUACUUUCAGCUUUUGGAUAUGCAGUGCUAAUAACUGUACAGUCUCAGAGCCACAACAGUACAAAACAGGAUUCAGACAGCAUCUUGGCUCCCUGGUACUCCUAAAAUUGCAGGGCAGCAUAAGUAGAUAAUUGCACAGCUUUUUGACAGUAGAAGACCAACUACUUUUCUUCAGUACACAUUAACAUUAAUCAGUUGGCUAGGUCUGGAUCAAUCUAUAGAAAUUACAUUACAGGGACAUUAGGAAGGAAAAUCAUGUUUAUUACAUGAGUGGCUAAGGCUGAGAAAGUAUGAAGUUCCCCCCCCAAGACAUUGUGCUCCCUGCUCCACAAAAACUCAGAGCUGGAGAAAAGCAGCUUAAUGUAUAUGUAAAAGUGUAGGUUGCCAUUUGGUAGCAAGCAUGUAGGUUAUUUAGUAUUUUGAUGAUUUAAGACUAGCUAUGAGAAUACAAGUGGAAAGGAAAGAGAAAGGAGAAGAGAUACUCAGAAGAGGAUUGUUGAAGUGACAGUAACAGGAGUGGAAUGAAGCUGAUGUAAAGAGAUUUUCAACACAGGGGCUGGAACAACCAACCAGUGAAUGUGGGUGAAAGUUGAGCCAGAACUGCAGAAUGGCUCUGGGGGUGGUUGUCACUCCUGCCUUGGCAGCUGCUCUCAUGGCUUGCUUUUUCCCCAUCUGAGACUGGGUUCCCCAAGAAAUGGAGACUGCUGUCAUUUUAGAUGUGAGCCAGAACAGUUUAUUUUUUGCUCUUUCUGAACUUCCUUUUUAAGCAGAUUUAAGGAGAGAAACACAGAGUGUACAUACAGGGACAUUUGCAGUAAUGUGUUGAAAAUAUUGGCCCAGAUUUUCAAGUUUAGGAAGGAAAGCUAGGUAUUCACAAGCUAAAUUAAAGCAACUCUAAUGCUGGUUUUAAAUUAAAUCUGGUUGCUCACAGCCUCAAUGAUCAUGUGACAUAAAAAUAGAGAUGUUUUGAUGCUCCUUUGUUUCUUCACUACACCAGCUCUAGGCCACCUCAGGAUUUGUCCUCCGCUGAGGGAGUUCUCCUGUAACACACUGAGCUUUCUAUUUGUUUCUUCCAUAUGCUCCUAUCUGCUAGAGCAGGGAUUAGAAAUUGUCUUGAGGAAUCCCCAUUUUCCCUUUAUAGUUUCACACUGAUUCACCAUGGGCAGGGGUUCAGGUACAAGGAACACUGAAGGCUGUGAACUAUAUCCUGCUCAGCUGCACACCUACAGCUUCCAUUCAUUUGUUAAAAAAAGACUGGCAUGCAUCCAAGAAAAUAAUUUGGUCCUGUUCCUGUUAGUAGAUUUGCAUUACUUGAUAUUGCUCAGACAUAGUCUUCUGGCUUUUGGAAGCCUGUUAUUAUCAUUAGGAGACUCUGUUACUCUUUGUAGGAAGAGGUAGGCUUUUGAUGAAGAAUAAUUCUCCUCUCCAUAUCCUCAAGCCUACUGUUCCCCUUCCAGUUAUGUCCAAACAUGACGGCCAGGACAAAAAAGCCAGUCUCCUUUCUUUGUAUGGGCAGGUAAUUUGUAGCUGCAUUCUGUCCAAGGUUCUGAGUCAACCAAAAAGUGUGGGGUUUUUUGACCCAUUUCUUUAAUCCAAAUGAUUCCUGUCCCCCAAAAGGAAAUAAAACAAUAUCCAAUCCUGAAAAACAAACAAACAAACAAACAAAACCCAAACCAAACCCAAACAAAACAAGAAUAAAGAACAAGAUAUUAUUUUAAUACAUUUUUUAAAAAGGUAUACCUUACUUAGAAACUUUGGGCAUAGCUGAUCCAGCUGGGGGUAGGAGAAUGCAGUGGAUGAGCCCGUCUCAGUGUCUCUUCCAGUUAUGUUUUCUAUGGUAAUAUGAUUGGGAAGAGGAUAAUUAUCAGCAAUAUUCAGUGUGAACACAGGAGCAGAUUUGGAGUGCUGCCUGAUUACAAGGUAUUUGUCUACCACUCAUCGUCAUUAUAUGAGAAUGCUUUAAUUAGCAUUGAAAACAUUUCGUUACAUAGACCGUCUCUGGCAAAAAUAGAUUGUGCGCCUGAUGUUUUUCACACUGUAUUAAAUGCUAAGUAUUCAGACCUACAUGGGCACACAAUGUCAUCACCUGAAAACACUAAAACCUAUAAAUCCUUGAUUUUCAUUUGCAACAAAAAUACUUAGAAUCAUUAAGAUUGUUAAUGUAUCGACAUUUAUUUUGAGGUUGAAAUGACUGAAAGUAUCAAGCAGGCAGCAGAUUUCAAUGCAAGGUAAACAUUUUCUUGGCAGUAAGGAUGAAUGAUGACAAAAUGUGUUUUAUCUACUAAAAAAAUAGAUAAUCAGCUUAUAAUCAUGGAGAGGACAAAUUAUCCUGAUCUAUUUCUACAAAGGCAGAUCCUAUUCUGGCAUAUGAACAGCUGAGUAGGAGGUAUGUAUAUAUUUAAAGACAAGAUACCACACAUACAGAGCAGAUUCCUGUUUGGUUCUUAUACUGGUUUGUAUUCAGCUCUAACUGCAGUUCAGAUUAUAUUUUCCAAACCAUUUACUUCUCUCCCUUUAGUUCAUCAAAGUUAUUCAAAUCUCAGUUUUAAACCUGUGUUUCUACAAAGUUGACUGAAAGCAGAUCCAUCUUCCUAAUGUGAAGGUUAGACUCAGCACACAGAUGAACACACCUAAAUGUAGGUGUCUGCACGUAGGUGUUUACACGUGAGCUAGCUGUCGUAGCUCCCAUCAUGGUCAGCAGAGGCACCUCUGGUUGGUUAGCUUGAUAGUGUUCAAGAUUCACUGAUUAUUGAUCAGAUCACCAAGAUCUGUAAAGGAAGCUUAGACACUAACUCACAUCUUGAAGUCACAUACUGUUAGGUGUCUCAGACUGCAAACUGAACCUGAUCUCAUGCAUUUAUAAAACAGACAUCGAAAGCUGAGCAAGUACUGACUGAGUAAUGUCCCAGUAUAAUCAAUGAAGGGUGUGAUUAAUCCAAUCAACGGUGUGUUUUAUAUUGAGCUGAAUCCUGCCCUAAACUCCUCUGACUAGUCCUCCAGCAACCAGAAUGGGAGCCUAGACACCUAGUUUACAUAUAGGGACAUACUUUGUAGACACCUAAGGUUAAGUGAGAUCAAUCCUACCCUAGGUGACUACUAGACGAUGAGAUCCUCUCGCCUGACUUCUUGCAUGAAAUGGGCUGUAGAAUCGAGUUCAGCAGCCUCUGGAUAAGCAGUUUCACCAAAAAAGGUGGUUAGAUAUACUUGUGACCCUGCUCACCUAUGGUUUGCCCAGAGACUCUGCACAUACCAGGCUUUUCUGAGCUCUUCCACAAAGUCUAGGGAAGGAGAAAAAAAGAUCCCUUCAUGCACAAUAAGGGUUGGGGGGGUCACCAACGUCUGCUUCUUCCCAUGGGAAAGACUUGGGGGUGACUGAUGCAGGACAUGACAUGAUUAUGCCUUUGUAUCUCAGUGCAGCUGUUCCAGAACAAAAUUAUCAUGAAAAGGCUGAUGAAGCUUGUGUGACAGAUUUUCAUGGUUGUAUGGAAAGUCCAGGAUGUAUUUCAAAUAACAAACUGUGUGCCAUUUAAUUAACUGAUACAGUGGAUAUGUUGGCCCUGCCAGAGGAUUUCUAAACUCUGUACCAACUAAUUUUAGUUGAGAGACAGUAUCAGUUUUCUGUGUCUUCCCAAAUGCAGAUUUCACCCUUUAUCUUAGCUGAAGUGGGAGCAGCAUCUUAGAUUUUCCAUCACCUCCCCUGCUUCUAACUAAAAUUCAACUAUGGGUCAAAUCCUUGGCUGGAAAGAGUGUAUGCAGAUCAGGAUCUGCCUUGUAUAAAAAAGUUACAAAAACAGGAUGUGUUUUAUUUGACUGGAGUGAACUUAAUGGUCAGGGGUCAUUUUCAUUUAAGACACAUUUUUCUCAUAGUUUUCAAAUGUAUUUUGUUUCUUAAAUGACAGCAAAAAUAAAAUGAUUUUUUCUCAGCAUUUUAUCUUAAGGAUCUCAAGGCACUUUAUUGGCACUAAUUAGCUAAACUUGCAGUUUCCCAAUAUAGUGAAUAUAUGACUGCUUGCCUUAUCUGCUUUCUCAGCUUUCAGGCUUAUUUCCCUCCAGUGGGAGGAAAGACCCUGGGUGCUUUCCAAUCUAUAAUUAUUAAGAGGACAGAAACACCAUAUACUUUUAUGGACAACUUAAUUUUUGCUGUUAUUUUCUUUUUUUUUUUCAUUUGUCUUCCCAAACUGAAAACUUGGUAAUGGGUUCUUCCUUUAUUUCACUGGCAUGUUAUACUUUUCCCUUGUUUUUAACUACUCCCCAGUGAGUCUCUGGUUUGCCCUGUUCCAUUCAUUCCCUCUGGAAGGGUUUUCAAGAUUUCAAAGUUCACUUCAGGAAGAUUUCAUAAUAAGAACUUAAGGAAAAUAAUAUAAUCUUGCUUUAAAACACUUCCUUCCUCUGUUUUGCUGAUGAAUUAUAACAAUUCACAAUACCAUCUGGCCAGCAACUGGUACAGAACUUAUUUCAUUGUUUUAAAUGUAUUUGUUUCUUUUGGUUGUAGAGUACAUAACAUGAGGAUUCCCUAGCUGCUGUUCUGUGAUCAGACAGAGCAGACUACAAUAUGAGAUCAAGAUGUGCCUAAAUGUUUGGAAUUGGGCUAGAAAUAGUCUUGGAAAAUGAUCUGUAGUCUUACAAUGAAUUAGAAUGUGAGUCCUGUGGUGAAGAGCAAAAUGCAGGUCUGAAUUUUGCAGCUUGAUCCAUUUUCUAAAAUCAUAGAAAAAUCUCAAGAGAAAUCCAACCUCCUCCUUCUUAAGGGGACUUUGUAGAAACUUCUUAAGCUCAUAGAUCAAAUUAAAAAUGAGAAAAUAACCUGUUUUCUGAAUCCAGUUUUGAUGUAACUCAGGAUAAUGGAAAUAGAGCUGGACAAGAAGUUAUCAUGAGCUUCCUACAAUCCCAGUUUUGAGGAAUCUCCCAGAACAGUUUGGGAAGGCUGAUGGUGCUCCAGACCCAAGUCUAGGAAGGAUGGCUUCCAUUCCAAAACCCAAGUGACUAAGCAUAGUCCAGUUCUGAAUUUGACCAUGCAUGGAUCGGGAGCGUUGGUGGUGAUGUGGAGGGGAAGUACGGCACCCAAGCCUCUCACCAGAUCACCUGAAGCACUUAAUGCACAAGGUGAAUCAAAAUACAGGGCCUUCUAGGUCCUCCCUCCAAGCAGAUUUUGAGCACACGAGUAUCAGACAUUUAAAACAUAAUUUGAGGCCUGAUUCAGUGUGGAUCCUAAGGUGGUGCAAUUUCAGUAAAACUUCCUCUCCUUAUCCUACAGUCAAAGUUAAUUUAAUUCACUUGUGUGUUUUUGAAGACUGUGAAAAUGAAGAAUUACUUGAAACAGUCUCUAGUGAUUACAGAUGUCCUUACAGCCCUUACUGUAAAGUGAAUGUUAUGGUGUAAAUGUACAGACCACUUAGCAACAGAGAGUCACUGUCUGUUCGUGAACAGAUGUUAAUCUUCACUGACGGUGU